rnacentral:rRNA from 1 species
AUACGGAGGAUGCGAGCGUUAUCCGGAUUUAUUGGGUUUAAAGGGUGCGUAGGCGGAAUGGUAAGUCAGCGGUGAAAUACUGCAGCUCAACUGUAGAACUGCCGUUGAUACUGUCAUUCUUGAGUAUAGAUGAGGUAGGCGGAAUGAGUAGUGUAGCGGUGAAAUGCAUAGAUAUUACUCAGAACACCAAUUGCGAAGGCAGCUUACUAAACUAUAACUGACGCUGAAGCACGAAAGCGUGGGUAUCAAACAGGAUUAGAUACCCUGGUAGUCCACGCCGUAAACGAUGAUUACUGGUUGUUUGCGAUACACAGUAAGCGACUGAGCGAAAGCAUUAAGUAAUCCACCUGGGGAGUACGUUGGCAACAAUGAA